CCUGCCGGCGACCGGCAAACGGGUGCGGAACACGUACAGAACCUUCCUUCGAGCGGGGAAUAGCCCGGAGAAAUCCGGAUUAAUACCCCAUAAAAUUUUUAGGUGGCAUCACCUGAUAAUUAAAGAUUUAUCACUUGAAGAUGGCUGUGCGGCUGAUUAGGUAGUUGGUGUAGGUAACGGCUCACCAAGCCAACGAUCAGUAACUGGUGUGAGAGCACGACCAGUCACACGGGCACUGAGACACGGGCCCGACUCCUACGGGAGGCAGCAGUAAGGAAUAUUGGUCAAUGGACGCAAGUCUGAACCAGCCAUGCCGCGUGAAGGAUGAAGGCCCUCUGGGUUGUAAACUUCUUUUAUAUGGGACGAAAUGCAGUUAUUCUUAAUUGUUUGACGGUACCAUAGGAAUAAGCACCGGCUAACUCCGUGCCAGCAGCCGCGGUAAUACGGAGGGUGCAAGCGUUAUCCGGAUUCACUGGGUUUAAAGGGUGCGUAGGUGGGCUUGUAAGUCAGUGGUGAAAUCUCCGGGCUUAACCCGGAAACCGCCAUUGAUACUAUAGGUCUUGAAUUAUCCCGGAGGUCAGCGGAAUAUGUCAUGU
rnacentral:rRNA from 1 species